AGCAGCCGCGGUAAUUCCAGCUCCAAUAGCGUAUAUUAAAGUUGUUGCAGUUAAAAAGCUCGUAGUUGAAUUUCGGGGUUAGUAGGUUGGUCAUGCCUCUGGUAUGUACUGGUCUCACUGAUUCCUCCUUCCUUAUGAACCGUAAUGCCAUUAAUUUGGUGUUGCGGGAAAUUUGGACUGUUACUUUGAAAAAUUAGAGUGUUUAAAGCAAGCUAACGCUUGAAUACAUUAGCAUGGAAUAAUGAAAUAGGACGUUCGAUCUUAUUUUGUUGGUUUCUAGGAUUGACGUAAUGAUUAAUAGGGAUAGUUGGGGGCAUUAGUAUUCAAUUGUCAGAGGUGAAAUUCUUGGAUUUAUUGAAGACUAACUACUGCGAAAGCAUUUGCCAAGGAUGUUUUCAUUAAUCAAGAACGAAAGUUAGGGGAUCGAAGACGAUCAGAUACCGUCGUAGUCUUAACCAUAAACUAUGCCGACUAGGGAUCG
rnacentral:rRNA from 1 species